UACGUAGGGGGCAAGCGUUGUCCGGAUUUAUUGGGCGUAAAGAGCGUGUAGGCGGCCUUACAGGUCAGCUGUGAAAACCCGAGGCUCAACCUCGAGACGUCGGUUGAAACCGUAAGGACUAGAGUCCGGAAGAGGAGAGUGGAAUUCCCGGUGUAGCGGUGAAAUGCGCAGAGUAUCGGGAAGGAACACCUGUGGCGAAAAGCGGCGGCACUGGACCAACUUCUGACGCUGAGGCGCGAAAGC
rnacentral:rRNA from 1 species